AUGUCAACAAGUGUACUUUCCUUUAGACACCAAAGGAAACCCUAAAGAUGCACUCAGCAGGGAAAUCCAGUAUAGAGGAGCAGUUAGCACAGAAUAGACUCAGGAAAAAGAAGGAAGAGACACAAAAGCGUUAAAAAGCGGUUCUGGGAGUUGAUAUGGUCAGCGAUGUCUGUUAUGAGUAGUAGUAGCACUGCUUCCGAGUCUGAGAGCAGUCCGAGUGCGGAUGAUCAACCAAAAGAGCAUUCUGAUGUGAAGAUGAAUGUGAAGUUGAGGUGUUUAAGCUGCUGGUUCUUAGAAUCAUCUGAUGGCCUGUUACACCGAACCCAAGUGAUCUUGUGAUAUGUGAGGCUCAGGCAGCAGCGUAGAUCAGUGAUGCAGACAGUGUAGGAAACCCUUCACUCCUGUCCUUUAGUUCCUACACAAAGCUGGACUGGAUUGCUUUAGGGCUGAAAUGUGCCUUCAGUGCCUUUGCUUUUAUAUGGUAGGUUUUAUAAAGGUAAUUAUCUGUUUUAUAUGGUACUGUAUGGAGAACAUGGAGUGGUAAAUAUCCACUGGUAAUGAAGUGAAGUCUGUUGAUUUUUUCAUUUGGGGUUCUUCGGGUAAGCAGGGUGGCAUUUGGUCAAUGGAAAUUUAGUGUUAUGUUAUUUAUGAGAGCAAGGUAGCUACCUACCAUGUGUAAAGGUCAGGUCAAAUUAUUUACGUGCACUUGUUAAGGACAAGAUGUUAAGCUUACCUUUACACCAAAGAGAAAGUAUUUUAUGGGAUUGGAUAUUUUAUAUCCUUUAUUUUACAUUAAUUUUGCCUGUAACUUUCAAGUAUGAAUACUUAGUGCUAACUGGAAAAUAGUUCAGCAUACUUGGAUAAAAAAUUUGAAGCUGCAAAGAAUUUUUUUCUGUUUGAGGAAUCUUGCUAGUUGAAACUAUCAAGUAUUGGGUAUUUAGCUUCACUGCAUGCCAUAAGAAACCUAAUAAUAAUGAUAUUAUUAAGAAAGGUUACUGGAUUUUAGUUUAGAACAACAUAUUUAGCCAUUGAAAGUUUACCACAAUACAACUCCUUUUUUUUUAUAAUACUGUACAAAGAUAAGGCAUGUCCAGAAAAUGAAGAAAAAAGAAUGAUUAGUGAUUGUUUAUUGUAUGCAGUAUUUGCAGUCUUCUUAAUUACUUGAAAAUUACUUAUUUCCAGCUUUUGUCAGUAUGUACAGGCUAACAUUGUUUGUAUGGAGGAAUGGUUACUUUCUUCCUUCUAAAACACUGAGACAUUUUACCUUUUUCCAUCAAGCCUUUUUGAAUACCAUUAAUGAUUUUUAAUUCACUACUCACAAGAUUUAUUUACUUAUUGAAAAAUUUCUGCAGCAUCAACCUCUAAGGUCAUUAGUGGAGUAUACAAAAUAAAGCAAUAGGGCGAGGCUUGGGGGCAAAGCCUACAGGUAAGGAAAGGUCACACAGCAUCAUGACAAAGUAUUGUGGCAAAAAUAUCAAAAAUUAGUUGACAAUUAGCAUAUGUUACUUGACAUAUGUCAACUAUAUUGCUGGAAGUGAAAUAUAUUUAUCCAUCUUCACAGCUCUUUUGAUUUCCACUACACAAGUUUUGGGAUGAUAAAACUUGGAUAGUUUGUAGUAUAGUUUUCAGAUACUGGAAGAGCUUAUGAUCUCCAUGCCAGGAAAUGUACGGCCAAUGUUAUGUUGGUAGUAAAAUAUAUCACUUUCCGUCCUUGGAUCAUCACUUUUUAUAUUUUAGUCAAUGAUCUCAUUAAUAUUUUUUUGCUUUACUUUUACUUUUCAUCUUAUUGUCAUUUUACUGUUAGGUUUAUUACAUCACAACCUUUUUUGUUGUGCUGUUUAUGAUAGGGCAACAACUGUUUUCCAUGUUGUUACUAAGGAAGUUUUAAUUUAGUUUGUAUCUUUUGGGUUUACUGCAUGGAUUCUGAAACACAAUUUCACUACAUUAUUAUUUACCGUUCUUUAGGCUUUCAUUAUAUUUUUAGACAAGUAUUGUGCUAUGUAUAUUUGAUUUUGCUAAGCAGUAUAAUCUUUCCAGUGAAAAUAUGUAGAUUUACUAUUAAAUAAUAUUGUUACCUUCCAGUAUUUCUUGAUGUGAUACAACUCAUUUAUAUUUUAAACUCCGUUAUAUAAAAAGCAAAGGUUUGUGAUUGGGGUGACAUGGAUCCAUAAUUUAGAAAUAAAAAGUUAUGAAGAAAGCCAAUAAUCAAAACACUUUAUUUUUCAAAAAAAUGUACACUGUACAAUGGAAUAAACCAGUACUGACUGAGUAAAGAGCCGAAGCUUUGAGCAAAAAACAACAUGAACCAUGAGAUCCUGAAGUAAGGGCCAAAAAAGGAAAUCCAUUUGGCAAGUAUAGUAACUACAAAUUCCAUUGGUAAACAAAACCUAAUAAAACCAGGGAAUUAACAAUUACUCACACUAUUGUCAUACCAUGGAAAAAAAGAAAAGAUAUAACAUGCAAUCAAUAGUAGUAAUUUUUUCCAAAAAAAUAAAAAUAAAUAAAAGGCAAAGUGGCUAAACCGUAUGACUAAUUCACACUGACUUUCAUUUUUAUUUCAUUAUACAAAGCUGGUGUGCAAAAAAUACAAAGGAGCCCCAUUCUGUAAUCUGAAAGUCACUAGUCUGGAUGGUGGAAGAUACAAUUUUCAGAACAAUAGUUCCUGGUGACUUUUGUUUCAAUUGACUAUUUUUCUUUUAAUUAAAGCUGCAGUAGCUAUAAGCAGAAUUAUUCAUGAAUACUUAAUGAUACUAAUAAUGCCUUCAAAGCAAAUUGUAACUACUGGUGAUUUUCAGUCUACAUAGGAGUCUCCCUUGGCAGAUAAUGGAACAUCUUCAGCCAAUGAAGUUCAGAACCACAGGAAUUUAAGAAAAAUCUACUUCAACUUUAUUACACAACCAGAACAGGUACUACUGAUUCCAUAUAGUAUGCUUAACAAGGUCAUUUUCAUAUGGGUAAAAAAAUCAUAUCAGAGAAGACAACAAAACUUGAAAGAAAAAAAAAAAAAAAAAAAAAAAAAAAAAACAUUU